UUCCACGUGCAGGAAGAGGGACGCUUGCAAUCUGCAGAACGUGCGCAGUCUGCGGGGGCGUGUGCAGGUGGUGGGCCACCUGGGCGGACCUUUUGCGCUCGCCCCAACUCCUUCCCUCUAUAAAGACAGCGUUCCACGCGCUUCUUUUCAUCACGCCUUCUCCUAGCACGUAAGUUUUGGAGCUUCUUCUGUCUCAGCCGGUCUUCAACCGCCGCCUUCUCUCGACAUGGACCCCAACUGCUCCUGUGCCACAGAUGGAUCCUGCUCCUGCUCUGGGUCUUGCAAAUGCAAAGAGUGCAAAUGCACUACCUGCAAGAAAAGCUGCUGCUCCUGCUGCCCAGUGGGCUGCUCCAAGUGUGCCCAGGGCUGUGUCUGCAAAGGGGCGUUGGACAAGU